GAGAAUUCCAUUGGAAGUCUGAGGCAAGAAGACAGAAAAACUUUGGGGCUUUUUUGGUCGGACUGUGUGAAGCUUCAGUAUUCGCUUCGGAGGAGAUUUGGCCUGAUUCAGCAGGUGUCAGUAGUGAGUAUCAACAGGUGCACUCCCCUCCCCAAGCAUGACACAGGAAGAGGAGGAAGGCUAUGGUCCCAGAAGGGAAGGAUGCAUUGAAGAAGUAAACCAGCGACUCUAACACUGGUGCCACUGAGAAGGCUUCAGAUUUCUUGACCACAGUGCACACUUCAGGGAGAGAGGACUCCUGGAAAGGGACGGCAUCCACCUCAUGA